AAGAAGAUGGUCGUGUCUGUCAUGGUAUCCUAGUUUCUUACAAAGUUGAUGUUGUCAUCAACGAUGUCAAGAAAUUCCUGUCGGAGACACAAUCGGAGAUCAUCAUUCUCGAGAUCCGAACCGAGUUCGGACACGAUGAUCCACCUGAUUUCGACAAUUAUUUGGAGAAUCAGUUGGGUGAAUAUCUAAUCCAUCAAGACGACUCUGUAUUCAACAAAACAGUGGCAGAGUUAUUGCCAAAGAGAGUAAUCUGUGUGUGGAAGCCAAGAAAAUCACCUCAGCCAAAACACGGAAGUCCAUUAUGGAGUGCAGGGUAUUUAAAGGACAAUUGGGUUGACACUGAUUUGCCUGAAACUAAAUUCGAAAGCAACAUGAAGCAUUUGUCUGAGCAGCCACCGGUGACAUCCCGGAAAUAUUUUUACAGAGUGGAGAAUACGGUGACGCCACAGGCAGAUAAUCCAGUGGUGUGUGUGAAACCGGUGACGAAUAGGAUUCGUCCAUAUUCAAGGUUGUUUAUAAAUGAAAGUAUUUCUAGAGGUUAUGGUAAUCGGUUACAAAUUUAUUCAACUGAUUUCAUUGAUGAGGAUUUUGUUGAUGCUUGUAUUGGACUUACAAAUGCAAGGAUUGAAGGCAAGCUCUGAAGUCAACGUGCCUGAAUGCAAAUGCAGUUCGAAAAUGUUGAGUAUAAGGUGAAGAUUAUCCGAGCUAGCUUCCUCCAACAACCCUAUCAAAUAUCAAUGUGCUUUCUUUGUUUCAUGAAUAUGUGAAUUAAUUAUCAGUCUGUUCGUCAUUCGAUGUACUCAGGAUCAUAUGUAUUUUGAUUAUUACUACCACUUGUUACAAGGUAAAAAUUGUUUGCUUAUGAAUUUCAGAUUAUACAUGUAGUUAAAUUGUGUGUAUAUGAAAUUAUGAAUUAAAUUCACGUUGUUUGAAAGGAUAAGUACUUUUACAUAAACACAUUGUUUACUACUUAGAUUGCUUGAAAUUCCACGUUUGAUUGGAAGAUACGUACUGUUACCUAAACCAAUUUGUUCACUCUUAGGUUGCUUGACCAGUUCAAUAGAGGCAGUUUUCUGUCAUUUUCAAACCAAAUAAGCAAAAGAAAUAUAUCUAUCAGCUAAAGCUGUCUGUCACAGUGCCAUUCACAUCUAUAAGGCCGAAAGAGGUUUAGUAUUUUAUUUUAUCUUCUCUAUAUUUUUCUUAAUUUUUUUAAGCUCUUACCUUGUAGUAAGUUUUUGUAUUCGUCUCUCCAUAUUACGACAACAAUCGUGUGAGUAAAAAUUACAUAGUCGGCCCGUCUUGAGGAUAAAUAAAGUCAUAAAAGGCACAAAGAAAUAUUUUUAUCCCUUUAGGGAUAAAUAAGAAAAGAAGAAGAAAUUAAAUUGAUAAUUCCAUAUCAAUUUUAGAAGAAAUCAUAGGCAUAUCCUUAGAAGUUAGAAUCCCAUCAUUGGCAUCACCCCUUUCAGAAGUUAGAAUCCCAUCAUUGGCAUCACCCCUUUCACACAAAAUGGAGAGAUGAAUUGAUAUAUUUAUUAAAUUUGUCGGGACUGACGGGGCUCGAACCCACAACUUCCGCCUUGACAGGGUGGUGCUCUGACCGAUUGAACUACAAUCUCGAAAAAAUUAGGUGUACAACCUAAAGUUAAUUUAGAUUCGAACCAUUUAGUUUCACAGUGUUGUAAGAGGGAGACAAAUGAUAUACUUUAUUAUUAUUAUCUAAUUUAGUAGACUCAUAGUGGGCUAAUUCAUGAAUUGAAUCAUGACUAUAUAAGCCAUUGUGAUAUUAAGAGAUUUAAUAUAGAUUGAAAGAAUUUAUCGUCCCUUCUCGUUAAUAGAUAGAUUUAAAGUGCAUAAUUUUUUCGCACCAUCUAAUUAGAUAUUAUCUAAAUUUACAAUAAUGCGUAGUUCUUCAUAUGACUAAUUAUUUCCUAUCCAAAUUUAAAAAAAAAAAAUUAUUAAAAGUCCCUAACUUAGUUCAGCCAGAUACAUCAUAUUCUUUCGGAGAGACAUCACUUAAUUUUACACAAUACAUCAUAUUCUACACGGAUACAUCUCUUAAUUUUAUAUGGAUACAUCAUUUAAUUUUAUAUGAAUACAUCAUAGUCUUCAGAUGUAUCUGAGUUUUUAAAUAAAAUCAAAAAUUUAUGUAAUUAUUUAAAAGAAUUGAAAUUUUAAAUAGUUAUAAUAAGUUAAGUUGAUGUAAUUUUCAUAAAAUCUAGAGUAAUAACCCUUGUAACUAAUCAAAUUAUAGUACAAAAAUUCUUUAAUCUAUCAAUAUUACUACUAUAUAACUCCAAUUUUGAGUGCCUGGAGGAUUCAUAUAACUCUUCCUUUAUCGUUUUUUCAUGGGCUUAGGAGAUGCACGUGACUGAACAAUACAGAUGGGCCAGCAAGCGGGGAGCCCAAAUUUAUUUGGAAAAAUUUCAAAAAUAGCAAUUAUAGAGCUUUAAUUGUAAUUUUUAUAGCAACAGUUUCAAAAUUACAAAAAAUAGCAAUAUGUAUAUUGUAUUUCAGUAAACUAUUGCUAUUUAAAUACAUAUACAAUCAGAGAUUUCCUUUCUAAUUUAAUGCUAAUCUGUUUGAGUUAAAUAAGAGAAAAAACUGUUCCUUAAUUUAUGACACGUGUUCCUUAAUUUAUGGCACUUUUAAUUUUACAGAUUCCUUUACCUUAUAAAACUCUUUUUUUAGCACAACCAUUAAAUUACAACUACUAAUUGAAAUUCAAAAAAUGUUUUCCAUAAUCAACAACUCAAAUCAAAUUCAAAAACAUUUUCCUUCAUGUUAUUUUUUUUGCUGAUCGACUAAAAUUUUGAAGAAAAUAUUAAAAAUACAAUGGUCCAAUUAUAGGUAUUGAUCAACUAACUCUAUUCUAUUUGUGGUUUUCAUAAAAUUAAAGUGUGAAAUUGCUGAAAAACUUGUAACAAAUUGUCGCAGGAUUCAAAAAUUUGAGAUCUUAUACGAAUUUUAUCAGUUCUCGUAAAAAAUGAUUUAAGCGAAUUUUUUUUUCAAUUUCAAAUUUGUUCUUGUUGUUCUGUUAUUUGAAAGUUGAGAUGCAAUUUUUAUACGUUAAAUUUGAAUUUUAGUUUAGGAUAACUAGUGUUCGACUAAAAUUUUUUUUCGUUUGUAUUCGUUUUGCAGCUUUGUAUAUACGAAUUAGUUGUUGUAUAUAGCACGUAUUUGAGAUUUAAACAAACUUGAUUCUAUUUGUGUGUUUCAUAAAAUAAAAUUACAAAAAUUACUGAAAAACUUGUAACAAAAUUGCGUAACAGUCGCAGAAUUCAAAAAUCUAAGAUCGUAUAUGAAUUUUAUCAGUUCUAAAAAAAUGAUUUGAUCAAAAAAAAAAUUAAAUUCAAAGUUAUCUGUGUCGUUAUGUAAUGUGAAAAUUGAGAUACAAUUGUUAUACGUAAAAUUUGAAUUUUAGUCGAUAAUAACUAGUAUUCGAAUAAAAGAUUUCUUUCCAUUGGAAUUAGUUUUUCAGUUUUGUAUAUACGAAUUAGUUGUUGUAUAUAGUACGUAUUUGAUAUUUAAUUUUAUUUUUACUGUUUUUGUGUUCUGGAGAUUGACAAUGGNNNNNNNNNNNNNNNNNNNNNNNNNNNNNNNNNNNNNNNNNNNNNNNNNNNNNNNNNNNNNNNNNNNNNNNNNNNNNNNNNNNNNNNNNNNNNNNNNNNNNNNNNNNNNNNNNNNNNNNNNNNNNNNNNNNNNNNNNNNNNNNNNNNNNNNNNUAUGUAUUUAUAAUAUACAUAUGCAGUACAUUUAUGUGUUCACUGGCAGUUUCAUAUAUUUCCAGCUGUAUGUAUUUAUAAUAUACAUAUGCAGUACGUUUAUGUAUUUACUGACAGUUUCAUAUGUUUCCAACUGUAUGUAUUUAUAAUAUACAUAUGCAGUAUUUUAUGUGUAAAAAUCAUGUCUUCUUAUAUGUAUUUUUUUAAUAUGCGGGACAUAUAUUUUCAUUGGCAUAUGGUGUACUAGAUUCUGAAAAUGAUGCAUCUUGGACUUGGUUCUUUGAGAAUCUGAAGGAAGCAUAUGAUGAAAGAAAACAUAUGUGCAUAGUUUUCGAUCGUAAUGCAAGUAUCAUAGAAGUUAUUGCUGAUGUGUACAAUAAUGUACCACAUUAUGUAUGUAUGUGGCGUCUAUGGGGUAAUGUGAAAAAAUUUUUAGAAAGUCACAUGAUGCAUUGUUCAUGGUAAAUCAGGAAGAGAUAUGUUCAAAAAUAAAAAUAAAAAUAAAAAUUAUUGUAGUUCAUGUGGGUUUAAAGGUCACAAUAUUCGUUAAUGUAGGAAAUACAAUAAAUGAUAAAUUGGUUGAUGUUUUUAGUCAAAAUGCAAUUGCUGAAUUUUUUCAUUAAGAAUUAUGUCAUUCUAAAUUUUGAACUUGCUAAUUUGUUAUAAUUCAAAUGUUGCAAUUAUUUUACAGAGUUUGAUUUAUUUAAUUAUAUAUAUAUAUAGAGAGAGAGAGACGUAUUUCGAAAAAAAUAUAUUUGCAUUAGACGUAAAUACAAAUGCAAACUGGAAUGAACAUAUGUAUCAAUCAUAAAUAUGUAUUUUUCAAAUUACAAAUGCAUAUCAGGAAAAAUAUACUUUCAGACUUGUAAAAAGUAAGUAUGUGUUAUUAAAAAUACAUAUAUAGACUGGAAUGAACAUGUGUAUUAUUCAUAAAUACAUAUGACUCAUAAAUUUAUAUGAACUUCUGCAUAAGAAUACAAUAACUAUGUAUAGUUCAAAAAUAUAUGUGCAAAUCUGUAAAAAUACAUGUGUAUAUAAUCAUAACUGGAAAAUACAUAUGCAUUAGAAAUAAAUACAUAUGCAAAACUGGAUAGAAGAAAAGUUCAUAAAGACAAUUACUAACAUUUACAUAAACUAACCAUGAAAAUAUUGGAGUUUAAAAGAUUAAACAUCAACAAACUUAAUAUAACAGUAAAGAAACAUUAACAUAUCAUCUUUGAACAUUAAAGUAACAUAUGAAACUUAAGAAAUAUUCAAAAAAUUGUUUAUCCACCUAAUGUUAACUGUUGUAAAGUUCAACGAAAUAAAAUACACAUCAAAUAUCAUGCACUUCAGUGUCUUUUGUUAUCCCAAUUUCUCGAGGAUGCCUCAUUGAUGCUUCAUCACCACUUUGUGCCUUCGCUUCUUCUUUUCUCGAACCAUAAUCCCACAAAAGUGAAGCAUAUCUUGUGCGAAUAAGAUUUGUACCAUGUAUAACAUUUACAUGUCAAACAGUGGUACUUAUGUAUUUACAAUAUACAUAUUAUAUUUACAUUGAAACAUACACAUAUACAAACAUUGUCAUCUACUCUUUAUAAACAAAUACAACUGAGCAAAAAAAUAUAAAUAUUAACAGUACAAAUAAGAAAAUACAUAUGUAACAGGUAACAAAUAUAUUUCAUAUGAUUCCAAGCAAACAAAUUACAUAUGUAUUUUAUUUAUACAUAAUUUGUCAAAAAAAUCAUACUUAUCAAUAAAAAAGAAGAACAUAUCAUAGUCAAAUACAUAUCUUAUCAGUAAACAAAAUAAAUAGAUAUCUAACCUGUACCAUGAAUAACAUUUACAUAUCAAAAUAGUGGUACUUAUGUAUUUACAAUAUACAUAUUAUAUUUACAUUGAAACAUAUACAUAUGUAUUUCAUGAAUACAUGAAUGGUCCAGAUUUAACUUACAAAUAAAAUAUACAACUGAACAUCAAUUACAAACCUUAUCAGUAACAAAUAUAAAUAUCUUACACAUACCGUAAAUACAAAAUACAUAUUUAAAAUAUAUUAUACAUAAUAAAAUAUAAUUAUUAUCAGUAACAAAACUAUAUACAAACUAAAAAUCUUAGAUAUAACAUAUGCAUAUCAACGCAUUAGCAACAAAACUAAAAAAUAAGCACUUUAUAAAAUGUAUAUAUAAAAUACAUAUAUGAACAUUUGUCCAGAAACUAUAAAAUUUUACACAUAUCAAAAUACCUCCUCCACUUUCUCUUCUUCAGAUUCAAAAUCAGAUGAAACAGGACUUGCAAUUUUACUAGAUUCCGCUUUUUCUUCUGACUUUCUUUUUUUCAUCAAUUUUUAAAUUUUUGUGGAUUUGGGGGAUGAAGAUUUUGCCAGUGCUUUCCGUUUCAUGAUUUCCACAGUCUUUACUGGAUCGUUACGCUGCUUCGAUCUCAACUCUUCAAUGCUAAAACCUCCCUUCAACUGAACUACUACGAUUUGCAUGUUCUGCCAUUAUAGUGGAACUCUAAAAAUUUCAACACACAAAAAUUAAACAAAAAUAAAAAACCCCAAAAAAUCACCACACAGAAGAAUGUGGAAAAAGUAUGCCCCAGUAAUUUCAACACACAAAAAUAAAAAAAAAAUAAAAACGUUGAAGAAUGUGGAAAAAAAACCAAAAAUAAAUUAGAUAUAAGAACUUAUAUGGAAAAGAAAACAUGCAUUAUCUGUAAAAUCAACUUACCUUAAUAGACGGGGACAAUGUUUAUCAAGAAUUUGAGAGAAAAAAUCCGAAUUUGAAGAAAUAGGUUAGUACUUUAUCAGAAUUUGAAGAAAUAGGCUAGAAAAAAUCUCAAUUUUUUGAAAUUUUCCCAAUUCAAAAUAAAAAAACCCCCAAAUUUUUAAAAUUUUCCCAAUUCAAAACGCAGAAGAUUAUGAAAAAAUAAUGCCAAAAAAAAUUACAAAAAAGAAGUUAUAUGGAAAAGAUAAAAUGCAUUAACUGUAAAAUCAACUUACCUUAAUAGAUGGAAACAACGUUUAUAAAGAAUCAGAGAAAAAAAAAUGGAAUUUGAAAAAAAAAAAUAGCAGAAGAGAGAUAUUGGAGAGAAUUGAAAUUUUUAUGAAUGGCACGAAAAUAGGGUUAUGGGAAGAUAAAGUAGCAUGAAAAGAGGAUAGUGAAAAUAUAUGGGUAAAAGUCACGCGCUUGGUAAUAAAAAAGGUAAAAUAUUGCUAUUUUUCCUAUUAGUUGUAAUUUUGAGAAACUAUUGCUAUUACUUGUAAUUAAUAUCUUAGGUAUGCUAGUUUAUGUAAUUUUUCCAAUUUAUUUCGCAUACCUACCUUGCUUCCCUCGAAAUAAUUUCUUCCAUUUUAAUUUGUUUGACUUUAAGUUGCGUUACUAUUUAAAUAAUUAAAAGAUGUUUUUUAUUUGUAAUUUUUUAAUGCUUUCUAAAUUUUUUAACGACUAACUAGUUUGAUUUAUAGAACUUUUUAUAUAAUUUCUAAAUAUAUUAAAAAAAUUUAUUCCAAAGAGAUGAUUAUAAGUCCGACUUGGAAGAUUUGAAAGCACCCAAAACAAAUUGAAAAGGAUGAAGUAGUACUUCUAUAGUAAGAUGUGUUGAUAACAUAGUAACAUUGAGAAGUGAAAAAGUGCAACUUAUUACUACUAGAACUUAAAAGUGAAUUGCCACUGCUAUUUGGUGAUCAAUAUCAAUAUGAUUGAUUACAAGAACCUUAUGAUCUCUUUGUUAUAAAUGUAUUUACAUUAUAGUGAAUGUCUAUCAAGAUCUACUUUGAUAUCUAUUAGGAUUUGAAGCAUCUGUCUUUUACUCAGAUUAGGAGUGAAUUUUCCUAUAAAUAGAGGGGUUUUGUUCAUUAUAUUUAUAAUAUGAUGAUCUCUCAUCAGAGAUUCCUCAGAAAAUACUCUCUCUAUUCUCUCUACUCUUCUUCUUGUUCUUUAUGAUUUUAUAACACGUUAUCAGCAUGAGACUCUGUCAUCUCAAGAAAGUAUUUCAGCACAAACAGGUCUAUUUCUUUUUCCUUAUUUGUCGAUACUUACUUGUUUUUUUUUAAUUUUAUUUUGUACGUACAAUGGCUAUACAAGGUAAAGUGAAUGGCUUGCAAAUUUUCACGUUCUAAAUUGGUUGGGUUUGAAGAAAAAUCCAAAUGACUUUUUUAUGGAAUAAAAAAAAACUAAUAUAAUGGCCGAAGGUUAUUUUUUUUUAUAAAUUAAAGGGGAAGCCAUAUCACAUAAUCAUGUCAAUAGUGCCUCAAGAUCCCAACUGUUGUAUUGAUGUUAUAAAGUUUACUUUUAAUGUAAUGUUGAUGUUAUAAAGUUUACUUUUAAAGUAAUGUUGAGAUAAUUAAGAUUGUUUUGCUACUAAUGAUAUAAUUAUUGUUGGAUUUGAGGAAAAAUAAUUGGUUUGGAACCAUUUAUGUUUUAAAUUUAUUCCUUAAGAACAGUAUUAUCAAAGGGGAUGAUGAUAUGUUGGGUUCAAGUCCCAUUGAUUUAUGCAUAAGACGCCUUUAUAUGGUAAGACGUUGAGUUUGAAUCCCAAUACACCAUAUUGAUGAUAUUAUGAUGGCUAAGGCAAAAUAAUGAGUAUUUGGUGAAACAUGUCCCAUUAAAUAUGCUUCAUUUUUUGAAUUGAAUGUGGUAGCAAUAAAUCAUAUGUAUACCUCAAUUUGCUUUUGUAGUAGCUAUCAUAAUUUGAUACGCUUAAGGCGUGAUUAUAUUCCAUUCCUGGGAAUGAGAAGUUUAUUAAUGCAAACGUGCACUUGUUGUGAUGGUAUCACAACUCACCUCCGAAAGAGGCUGAAUAAUUGAGAAGAGUUAUUUUGAAAUCUACUUUUAAAAUAGUAAAUCUGAAAUUUAUUCAUGCAAUAGUAAAUCUGAAAUUUACUAAAGUGAAAAAUACAUGUCAUGGUAAAUUUGGAGUUUACUAGAAUAAAAGUUCAUAAAUUGAUAUGAACGAUUGUGACAUCUCGAAGAUGUGCAUGUAUUGAAGAACUAGAAGAUUCUUCAAGAAUUAUUUAUAUCGUUUGUUAUCAUGAUAAGUUGGUUGGACCAACUAAUAUUGGGAUUGGAUCCCUUCAAAUCUGAAAAUUAUAAAAGGUGAAUAAGGGCCCGUUCACCUAUCAUGUGAUAUGUUGAAAAGAUGCAUCAAUAAGAUGAUCACAUGUACAUUCAUUGUCAACUUGCAGUUUGACAUUCAUAAAGUUGCUUGCUCAAUAAAAUUGAGUUAAGAACAUAAUUUUCAAAUUGUGCAAUCAAGAAAGUUAUCUUGAUGAUGAUGGUUUAGCAUUGAAUGCCUUCGAUAAAUAGUUAAAUCAUCGCUAAUGAGAACAAAGCUUCAUGUGUUGGUCUGAGAUAUGAUAUUUUGAAUACAAUAACACUUGUAUGUAUUAGACCAAUAAAUUAUGAUUAUUUCUUCCGUCUCAAUUGGUUCAAGGCCGGGAACCAAUUUUUCCAUCCAAUAAUUUUGAUAUGCGGUAUACGAUUAAUAAAUAUACUAUAAUGCACAAAGAUGGAUUCCUCAAAGAAGUAGAGGAUAUAUGUUAGUUUUCCUAACAUAAGGGGGAAAUUAUAAGCGCUAUGAAAUAUGUUAGAAAUUCACCAGAUCCUCAUCCAAAAGAUAAUUUAAGUCAAAUAUCGAAAGCAUCUCAUAUUAAGCGUAAAUGCUUUUAUUUUGUGUUCCUAAAGGACAAAAUCUAUGCAUGCGUAAAGCGUGGUAGACUAAUCAGAUCCAAAUGAAAUAUUCCUUGAAAAAUGAGUAAAUAAUCAUAAUAAGAAGGCAAUGAGCUCUUAAAGAGUCUACGACAUAACACUUUAUGAAACCUUAUGAGAGGUUCAUGUACCUGAAAAUAAUGAAGUGAUGAGAACUCAAAAUGUNNNNNNNNNNNNNNNNNNNNNNNNNNNNNNNNNNNNNNNNNNNNNNNNNNNNNNNNNNNNNNNNNNNNNNNNNNNNNNNNNNNNNNNNNNNNNNNNNNNNNNNNNNNNNNNNNNNNNNNNNNNNNNNNNNNNNNNNNNNNNNNNNNNNNNNNNNNNNNNNNNNNNNNNNNNNNNNNNNNNNNNAAACUUAUUUAUAAUCCUUAUAUUGUAUAAGCUUAUUGUUUGAACAUCAUUGGAACUCUUGGAGAGUUUUCAAAGCAAUAGAUUAUUUGCUGAAAUUCAAAAUAUAUCGAAUUGGAUUGGUUAUGAAGUACCAUAUCUUAGUGCAAUUAAUGCACUCAUGUGCCUUGCAAAUACUACAAGGCCUAUAGCCUUUUCAGUCAAUUUAUUAACAAGGUAUACUUCUGCUCCUACUAUGAGACAUCAAAAUGGGAUAAAACACAUAAGUUUGUUUUAUUCUAAAGAUUGCAGUCCCGAUCUUAUUGGUCAUGCUGAUGUUGGGUACUUAUCUAACCCGCAUAAAGCUCGGUCUCAAAUAGACUAUGUGUUCAAAUGUGGUGGUACUGUCAUAUCUUGGAGAUAUACAAAGCAGUCUAUCGUAGCCACUUCAUCGAAUCAUGCUGAGAUAAUAGUUAUUCAUGAAGCAAGCCGAGAAUGUGUAUGGUUGACGUCCAUGAUACAUCUCAUUCGAGAAAAAUGUAAUGUAAAAUAUGACAAUCUACCCACAAUUUUAUACAGAGAUAAUUCAGCAUAUAUAGCACAUCUUAAGGGAAGAUUCAUAAAUGGAGAUAGAAAUUCAGCAUACAUAGCACAUCUUAAGGGAAGAUUCAUAAAUGGAGAUAGAAAGAAGCACAUUUUGCCAAAGCUUUUCUACAUACAUGAGCUACAAAAAGAUGAUGAUAUUAAUAUGCAACAGCUUUGUUCAACUGACAAUGUAUCUGAUUUAUUCACCAAAUCUUCUCCAAUUGCAACUUUCAAGAAGAUGUUGCACAAGAUCCACUACCAGAAAUUCGCUAUUUUUCGACAGCUCAUGUAGCCAGAUUGUAGUCGAAAAAUAGGGGGUUUCCGAGUACUUUCCGACUGUUUAGUGGUAGUCGGAAAAAACCUUGUCGGAAAUAUAUUUUCAAUUACUACUGUCGAAAAUUUCCGACUAUAGUAGUCGGAAAUUUAAUAAAAUAAUUAAGAGUAAUUAUUUAAUAAUUCUAACAUUUUCGACUAAUGCAGUCGGAAUAGUAAUUAAUAAUUAUUUAAUAAACAAAAAUUUUUCGACUACUUUAGUCGGAAGAUUAAUAAAUAAUAAUUAUUAUAUUAUCAUUUUUUGAUCAAAAUAGUUGGAAUAUUUUAUUUAUUAAAUAAUUAUUUUGAAAUAGUUAUUAAUAUUAUUUAUUAAAUAAUUAUUAAAUAGUAAUUAUCGCAGAACUAUACCACAAAGAGUAUCACAAUCUCUUCAAAAAAAUAUCUACAGUUUGAAGUAAUUUUGAACCUUUUUUUUGAAUGUUCAUAUAAGAACUCAAAUCCCUAUUUACAUUAACUAUGUAAGAUAAAGAAUUUAAUACAAUUUCUCUUCUAACAAAAUCAUAUAGAGAAUACUCGUUGUCCAGCCAAAUAAAACUAUAUGAAGACAAAGUAAAAGCAUUGUUAAGAAGAAACCAAAUGAAUUUGUGGGCCUUUCUUGAUCUGUUACCCCCAUAUGCAUUGCCUUUCUAUCAUCUUUCUGUCAUCUGCAAUCUGUUGAGUUAAAGCUAUCUGCAAAUUCGGAAGGUUUUGAGGGAAUGCUUGACUGUGUUUGAGUGUAGGAGAAGUCGUGUAUGCUUGACUAUGUUUGAGUGUAGGAGAAGUCGUCGAACAUUCUUGAAGUUCCUUCAUCAGCUUGCCAUCUUUGAAGGAUUUGAGGAAGGUUCAUACGGAGGUCGAUGCCACUGUCUUCGUCUUCAUUUCUCCUAGGCUUCCAUAGGUCUAUGAGGAGGGCAAGUACAAUAACGACAUGUCCCAUAUCAAUGGCCUGUUAACUCGGCGACCUUACAAACGCCCUCGUAUGUUUCCUAGUUGGGAUUGAGUGUUGGGUCAAUAGCCUUUUGGAGGUUGUCUUUGUUGACUAGGACCCUGCGAAGCCAAGAGAUCAAAUGGGACCUCUCAUCUGGCAAGGUCUCGUCUAAUGCUUUUCUACCAGUUAGGAUCUCCAUUAGAACAACUCCAAAUGCAUACACGUCUACCUUAGUCGUGACUCGUCCAGUAGCAGCAUAUUCAGGAGCCAGAUAGUCAAACGUUCCAGCCAGCCAUGUCUCAACAGAAUAUUUCCCAUCGAGAGCAUUCUUGACCAAUCCAAAAUCAGCAACCUUAGCCCUCAUGUCAUUACCAAGAAGUAUGUUAGAGGGCUUCAAAUCCCUAUGGAUAAAACUUGUUUAAGCCAAGCUGUGGAGAUACUCGACUCCUCUUGCAACAUCUAACGCUAUUGUUACCUUUUGCUUCCAGGUCAAAAUUGGGUAGCCGUGUUCUUUCCAUUCAAGCAAAUGCUGAUUUAAAGUUCCCUAUGGCAUGUACUCAUACACCAAAAAUCUCAAAGUAAUUGUGAACAAAAAUAACAUCAAGUUAUAGUAUAUCAUUUCUUUACUAACAGAGUUGCAUACCAGUGAAUUAUAUGAAACAACAAAAAGUCAAAAUCUUCAAAAACAACAAAAUCAACACAGUACUACUUCUGCUUCUAGGCUUUUAAAUACUUAUAAUCCCACUCCCACAACAUAAACGGAGGGCGUACCUAGUAGGCUUUAAAUACUUCUAGGCUUUUAAAUACUUCUAGUCGAUUUAUAAUUUGUAUUUUCUAUUUAAGGAAGUUAAAACAACCAUGAUUAACGGAGGGCGUACCUUGUAAGUAAUCACAACAUCACUGCUCGACUAGUUAAAGACAUUAGCGUCAUAGAACAACCCCGACUUUCCAUCUUCAUCUUCAUUGUCUAGCUCCUAAAACACCAAUAUCGAAACCACUGUUAAGAGUUACUUCAUCAACUAACAAAACUACAAAUCAGUCGAGUACUCGACAAGUUUCACCUUAAGAGGGUGACUGAUAGCCUUAGACGAAACCUCAAAUCCCGAACCACAAUUAACAUUAAACUUUAUAUUUUCUUUCUUAGUUAUCUUCUUUCCAACUGGAGUUACAUACUCUGGCAAACUAUACAAUAUGCUUUAGGUAAAUUGGCCAACGCAAUACAAUAACUUCUGAGACCAUCUCAAAGUAACUGAGAUAUAGGUUCCCCCAUCAAUCUGAAAAGGUAAUUCCAUUAGUAAAAUAAAGAGUGAAGGGUCAAAAACACACCUAAAGUAUCCCGUUUUUCAAGUUUCCUACUUGAACUAUCACCAAAAGUUUUGUCGAAACACACUUCAACUAUCAAUUGUUCACUUUUCCUACCUAAACGACUAUUUUGCGAUAGUUCAGGUAGGAACCUCACAUAAAAAACUGGGAUACCAUAGGUGUAUUUUUUACGCAUAAAUCCAAAAUGAACAAUCACAGACGAAAUAAGAAAGCAAAUUAUAUAGAAGACAAGUUACCUCUGGUAUUGUAAGGGUAAAUAUAUGGGGCUUCAGAAAGAGUCCAUCUUCAAUUUUGGCUAUCGUUUUAGGUUCCUUCUCAUUUUCCUCGGCAACUAGUUUAGUGCUGUAUGAUUUGCUCGGUAACUCAACCUCGACACCUAGAAUUGAACCCUGUUAGCCAAAUAAUGCAGCACUUGAGAAACAAACAAUUAGAAAUAAUGGACUGCAAAUUGAAAAAACGUGUUAAGAGGACAGACAAAUCAAGACCACCUCACUGAUGAAGAAGAUCAACACUAUCACCUUCAUAACAAGGUUUCUUGUUUCAGCAGUCAAUUUUGGCUCUACGAAAACCAGAGUAGUGCAGGCACUUAAAGCAAGCGACUGCAACCCAGAAAAGAAAGAAAAAAUUCAAAAAACAAGAGAAAACUAGAGUAAUUUAGAACAGAAAAGUGAUGUAAUCCUGAUGAAGAUAAGUGAAAUGGCAUUGAGCAGGGAAAUAAUUGCCAAUACAAAAACUUGAGUACGUAGAUGCUCAAUGUUGGAUUCAGAAAAUCCAUCUUCCUCAUCUCUGCCCAUUAAUGUUAAUAUAUAGUCAAGUAACAGGUUUCUUUUUUUCAGCGGGAAUGAUAUACCACUUUCAGAUGCAUUUAUAACUGCCUAACCUAAAGCACAGUGAUACAUAUAUAAAACCCAUUUAGUUUAAUCAUAAGCAAACUACAGAUUCCCCAUUACUCAUAUACUCAACAAUCUCUGCUCUCCGUACGUUUCCUAAUCAUAAGCAAAACCCACAAAAAAAAGAACCCCAAAACCCCAAAAGAACCACUACAAAUGAAACUAAAAACUAAAAAUCUGAACAAGCAUAGCAAAUGAAACAACUCACUACACGUGAAUCUAGAAAAUCAAGCAAAAACCCAUUCUUUUACCCAUCCAAAAAACCAACAAAAUCUAAGCAACUCACCGUCGUCGUUACAAUCACCAUGACCGUCACCGCCAAUUUUUAAGAGAGACACCGUCAAUUUUUGAGAGAGACACCACCAAUUUCUAAGGUUUACAGAGACGACAGUGAGAAUGAGAGAAAGGGUUUAGAGUGAGUGAGAGAAAUUAGAAAGUGAGGGCUAAGGUAUUUAUUUUUUAUCUUAUAAAUAUUAUUUAAAUUAAAUAUAAUUUUCGACUACUUCCGUCAGAAAUAUCUUUAUUAUAUUUAUUAAAUUAUUAAUUUUCUGUAUAAAGUCAUAUAUUUCCCACUACAUUGGUCGGAAAUAUAUUUAAUAAUUUACUUCUUCGAUUAUUUAUAUUUCCCACUACAUCGAUCGGAAAUGUAUUGGUAAUAAUUUAUUUAAAUAAAUAUUUAAUUUCUGUAUAAGGGUAUGAUUAUAUAUUUAGUCAUAUAUUUAUUUAGCUAUUAGUAUUUCCAACUAUAUUGGUUGAAAAUAUAUAAUUAAUAAUUUAUUUAUUUUAUUAUUUAUAUUUUCGACUAAAGUGGUUGGAAAUAUAUUUAAUAAUUUACUUCUUCAAUUAUUUAUAUUUCCGACUACAUCGGUCGGAAAUGUAUUGGUAAUAAUUUAUUUAAAUAAAUAUUUAAUUUCUGUAUAAGGGUAUGAUUAUAUAUUUAGUCAUAUAUUUAUUUAGCUAUUAGUAUUUCCAACUAUAUUGGUUGAAAAUAUAUAAUUAAUAAUUUAUUUAUUUUAUUAUUUACAUUUCCAACUAAAGUGGUCGAAAAUAAAUUUAAUAAUUUGCUUAUUUGAUUAUUUAUAUUUCUGACUACAUCGGUCGAAAAUGUAUUGGUAAUAAUUUAUUUAAAUAAAUAUUGAAUUUCUGUAUAAGGGUAUGAUUAUAUAUUUAGUCAUGUAUUUAUUUAGCUAUUAUUUCUUAGUAUAGUGGUCGGAAAUAUAUAACUAAUAAUUUAUUUUAUUAUUUACAUUUCCGACUAUAGUGGUUGGAAAUAUAUUUAAUAAUUUACUUAUUUGAUUCUUUAUAUUUACGACUGCAUCGGACGGAAAUGUAUUGGUAAUAUUUUAUUUAAAUAAUUAUUUAAUUUAUGUAUAAGGGUAUGAUUAUAUAUUUAGUCAUAUAUUUAUUUAGCUAUUAGUAUUUCCGAUUAUAGUGGUCGGAAAUAUAUAAUUAAUAACUUUUUUAUUUUAUUAUUUACAUUUUCGUCUAAAGUGGUCGGAAAAUCAUUGCUAAUAAUUUAUUUAAAUAAUUAUUUAAUUUUUGUAUAAGGGUCUAAUUAUAUAUUUAAUAAUAUAUUUAUUAUAUUAUUUAUAUUUCCGACUACAACAGUCGGAAUGUAUUUUUUGCGGAAUUUACCGCCAAAUAUUCUGACUAUUGUAGUAAGAAAUAGUGACGGGGAAAUAUUUUAUAAAAUAAAAUAAUAUAAAAGUAAAUUUUUCGACUGAAGUAGUCGUAAAUUUCCGUCUAAAUUUUUUCAGUCGAAAAAUAGUGAAUUUCUGGUAGUGAUCGAGAUGUAAAGGUCAAGGAUGUUCUCAUUAGGGGGAGUUAAUUCGCGAUGUACUCUUUUUCCCUUACAAAGUUUUGUCCCACUGGGUUUUCCUUGUAAGGUUUUUAAUGAAGCAACCGAAAUGCAUAUUAUUAAAGAUAUGUACUCUUUUUCCUUCACUAGAAUUUUUUCCUACUGGGUUUUCUAGUAAGGUUUUAACGAGGCACAUUAUCCACCAAUUAGACAUUUAAGGAGAGUGUUAUAAAUGUAUUUACAUUAUAGUGAAUGUCUAUCAAGAUCUACUUUGAUAUCUAUUAGGAUUUGAAGCAUCUGUCUUUUACUCAGACUAGGAGUAAAUUUCCCCUAUAAAUAGAGGGGUUUUGUUCAUUGUAUUUACAAUUUGAUGAUCUCUCAUCCCUCAGAAAAUAGUCUGUCUAUUCUCUCUGUCCUUCUUCUUGUUCUUUAUUGUUUUAUAACACUCUUAUAUUUAAACAGUAGUUUUUUAUGUUAUAUUUUACUGAUCUUCUGAAAAAUAAAUCAUACAACUAAAAGGACAUUUAUAAUGAAUCAUAAAACCUAUCUCUCUUUUUUAUGCUUGGGUAAAAUGUGUCCAAAGAAUUUUCGAAAAAUUCAAUAAUUUUCCUAGCCAAAUGAAUUGUUAGGAGUUUUGCUCUUACUAUAUUUAAGUUUUACUUUUUUUCUAUUCAAGGAAAAUAAAGUAGUACCAUAAUUACUUUUAUUUUUCCUAAAAGGAAAUAUAUAGCUUUUCCAUCUUUGGCUAACCUCUUUCUUGGAGGAAAGGUUUUGGACAUCUAUAAAUAGAAGACCCCCUUCUUAUACCAUAACACAAUAGCAUCCACAAUUAGUCGUUUAAAGAGUCUCGUUUGGGGGGAGAUUUCUCCCAAUAGAUUUAAUAUUUUUGAUAUUAGGUUUUAUAAUAAGUAGGCCGAUUGGCCAAAAGAUAUAAUAAUUUAAUGCUUUUAGUAUUGUUUUCUUUGUCGUCUGAAUUAUCACCACGAUAGUUUGCAACUAAUAGCUUCCGCAUGACGCCCUCUCGAUUUCGAACCCAAUAAGUGGUAUCAGAGCCUAUGGCUCAAUGAUCCAAUGGUUCAGAUUGAGGAGAUGUUGAGAAUAAAGUUGCAACAAAUUUGAUGAUAAUGAAGAUAUAUGUCCAAAAACUCCAUAUGGAGACGAUUGUCAAUCAUAUUUUCAACAAUCCUACUGUUACAUAUAUGAAAAUAAAGCUCACUUUUAACUCUAUAAAGGGCUCGUAUAUUUUUAACCCGAAAGGGCUCAUAUAUUUUUAACCCCAAAGCUCUAUUUUUAAGAAUGUCAAGCAGCAGUGAUGAAGACUAUAUGAAAAACAGAGAUCAAAGAUGUGAAGAAGCGGAUCAAUUGAAGAAAAUCAAGCUAAAAAUGAGAGAUUUAUUAAGUUUUUGCCCUGAUUUUCUUACUAUAUUUAAGUUUUACUUUUUUUCUAUUGAAGGAAAAUAAAGUAGUACCAUAAUUACUUUUAUUUUCCCUAAAAGGAAAUAUAUAACUUUUCCAUAUUUGGCUAACCUCUUUCUUGGAGGAAAGGUUUUGGACAUCUAUAAAUUGAAGACCCCCUUCUUAUACCAUAACACGAUAACAUCCACAAUGUAGUCGUUUAAAGAGUCUCGUUUAGAGGGAGAUUUCUCCCAAUAGAUUUAAUAUUUUUGAUAUUAGGUUUUAUAAUAAGUAGGCCGAUUGGCCAAAAGAUAUAAUAAUUUAAUGCUUUUAGUAUUGUUUUCUUUGUCGUCUGAGUUAUCACCACGAUAGUUUGCAACUAAUAGCUUCCGCAUGACGCCCUCUCGAUUUCAAACCCAACAAGUGGUACAGAGCCUAUGGCUCAAUGAUCCAAUGGUUCAGAUUGAGGAGAUGUUGAGAACAAAGUUGCAACAAAUUUGAUGAUAAUGAAGAUAUAUGUCCAAAAACUCCAUGUGGAGACUAUUGUCAAUCAUAUUUUCAACAAUCCUACUGUUACAUAUAUGAAAAUAAAGCUCACUUUUAACUCUAUAAAGGGCUCAUAUAUUUUUAACCCGAAAGGGCUCAUAUAUAUUUAACCCAAAAGCUCAAUUUUUAAGAAUGUCAAGUAGCAGUGAUGAAGACUAUAUGAAAAACAGAGAUCAAAGAUGUGAAGAAGGCGGAUCAAUUGAAGAAAAUCAAGCAAAAAGGGGGAGAUUUAUUAGGGUUUUGCCCUAAUUUUUUUACUAUAUUUAAGUUUUACUUUUUUCUAUUGAAGAAAAAUAAAAGUAGUACCAUAAUUACUUUUAUUUUUCCUAAAAGGAAAAUAUAAUUCUUUUUCAUAUUUGGACAUCUAUAAAUAGAAGACCCCCUUCUUAUACCAUAACACGAUAGCAUCCACAAUGUAGUCGUUUAAAGAGUCUCGUUUAGGGGGAGAUUUCUCCAAAUAGAUUUAAUAUUUUUGAUAUUAGGUUUUAUAAUAUGUAGGCCGAUUGGCCAAAAGAUAUAAUAAUUUAAUGCUUUUAGUAUUCUUUUCUUUGUCGUUUGAAUUAUCACCACGAUAGUUUGCAACUAAUAGCUUCCGCAUGACGCCCUCUCAAUUUCGAACCCAACAAGUGGUAUCGGAGCCUAUGGUUCAAUGAUCCGAAGGUUUAGUUUGAGGACAUGUUGAGAACAAAGUUGCAACAAAUUUAAUGAUAAUGAAGAUAUAUGUCCAAAAACUACAUGUGGAGACGAUUGUCAAUCAUAUUUUUAACAAUCCUGCUGUUACAUAUAUGAAAAAAAAGGUUCACUUUUAAUCCUAUAAAGAGCUCAUAUAUUUUUAACCCGAAAGGGCUCAUAUAUUUUUAACCCAAAAACUCUAUUUUUAAGCAUGUCAAGCAGCAGUGAUGAAGACUAUAUGAAAAACAAAGAUCAAAGAUGUGAAAAAAACGGAUCAAUUGAAUAAAAUCAAGCCAAAAAGGGAAGAUUUUUUUAAGGGUUUUGCCCUAAUUUUCUUACUAUAUUAAGUUUUGCUUUUUUCUAUUGAAGAAAAAUAAAAGUAGUACCAUAAUUACUUUUAUUUUUUCUAAAAGGAAAAUAUAAUUUUUUCCAAAUUUGGCUAACCUCUUAUUUGGAGGAAAUGUUUUGGACAUCUAUAAAUUGAAGACCCCCUUCUUAUACCAUAACACAAUAACAUCCAUAAUGUAGUCGUUUAAAGAGUCAGGGGGAGAUUUCUCCCGAUAGAUUUAAUGUUUUUGAUAUUAGAUUUUAUAAUAUUUAGGCCGAUUGGCCAAAACAUAUAAUAAUUUUAUGUCUUUUUAGUAUUAUUUUCUUUGUCGUCUGAUUUAUUGUCUCAAAUAUAUUAAAAAAAUUAUUCCAAAGAGUGAUUAUAAGUCCGACUUGAAAGAUUUGAAAGCACCCAAAACAAAUUGAAAAGGAUGAAAUAGUACUUUUAUAGUAAGAUGUGUUGAUAACAUAGUAACAUUGAGAAAUGAAAAAGUGCAACUUAUUACUACUAGAACUUAAAAGUGAAUUGCCACUGUUAUUUGACGAUUAAUAUCGAUAUGAUUGAUUACAAGAACCUUAUGAUCUCUUAUAUUUAACCAGUAAUUUUUUAUGUUAUAUUUUAUUAAUCUUCUAGAAAAAAUAAAUCAUAUAACUAAACGGACAUUUAUAAUGAAUCAUAAAAAUUAUCUCUCAUUUAUAUGCUUGGGUAAAAUGUGUCCAAAGAAUUUUUGAAAAAGUUAAUAAUUUUCCUAGCCAAAUGGAUAACAAUACUCGAAUUACACCCAAGGCCUUGUAAAAUAUAAUCAUAAUAAUUGUCAAAUCGUUGGUUGAAGGUGUCAUCAAUUCUUGGAUAACAAUUCUCACAAUUAUUGUCAGUUGUUGAAUUUCGGUUUGCCAUCUGGCACAUAAGUGACCAGCCGAAUGGGAAAAAAGAAAUAAAUUAUAAUAGAGUACUAAUUAAUUCCAACAAUUAUAAAAGCAGGACAAGCGUACACUGGAGCAAAAAAAUAUAACUCAUUCCAUUUCAAUUUGUGGCAACUGUUUUUUUUAGUUCGUUUAAAAAAAUAUCUCAAUAUAUUCAAUUAUUUUUUAUUUAUGAUCAUAAAUUUUAAUAAAAAAUUUAUAAUAUUUAUUUUUUAAAUAUCGUGUUAAAAUUAGACAAAUAAAUUGAAAUUGGGAGUUAAAAGAUAGUGACUUUCUACCCAUACUACCAAUGAAGCGGACCCCUUAGUAGUAAAGACAAGUGGUCCAUUCACUUUAAAGAUAUGUCAAUACAAUUAAAAAUAUUAAAAAGGAAGUUUCUUUAUUUGUCAUAAAUCAACAAGCUUUCUGCACUGUAUCAAAAAGAAAAUAGAAAGGCGUUAUAUUAAACACAAAAAACUUUAAUCCUUUCCAACUAGAAAUAUCAUAAAGAAAAAGGAAAAAAAAGUUUCAGGAGGAGAAAAGUCACUGUAUUCCUUCUUCUUUUCUUGUUAGUACUUAUAUUGUGAAAAUGGGUGCUUUUUUCUCUAAACAGGUGGAAAGAAGAAAAGCAAUCCGUACUCAGAAAAAACUUCUUUGUGAUCUCAAGGACAAAGGUAGCGCAGAUUUCCCUGGUUGUGAUCAUUUCGUAGAUGAUAGGAAAAAUUGGAUGUCAACACUUGCCCUCGAUAAACUGCAUGUGAACCAGAUAGUUUGGCCCGGUACCCAUGAUUCAGCAACUAACAAAAUAGGGAUCCCAUUUAUUUCUCGACCUUUUGCCCGAACACAAUCACUGUCCAUUUACAAACAGCUGGUAAUGUUAAAUUACGCGAUCAUCUCAUUAAUUAUGUAAUCUUUGUUUACUAUGAAUGAUAUCAUGCUAGAUUACAUGACAUUCGAGAACACUUUUAUUUAUUUAAUUAUUAUACAUUUUCCACAGGUCAUGGGCACCCGUGUUCUUGACAUCAGAGUUCAAAAAGAUGGUCGUGUGUGUCAUGGUAUCCUAGUUUCUUGUAACGUUGAUGUUGUCAUCAACGAUGUCAAGAAAUUCCUGUCGGAGACACAAUCGGAGAUCAUCAUUCUCGAGAUCCGAACAGAGUUCGGACACGAUGAUCCACCUGAUUUCGACAAGUAUUUGGAGAAUCAGUUGGGUGAAUAUCUAAUCCACCAAGACGACUCUGUAUUCAACAAAACAGUGGCAGAGUUAUUGCCAAAGAGAGUAAUCUGUGUGUGGAAGCCAAGAAAAUCACCUCAGCCAAAACAUGGAAGUCCAUUAUGGAGUGCAGGGUAUUUAAAGGACAAUUGGGUUGACACUGAUUUGCCUGAAACUAAAUUCGAAAGCAACAUGAAGCAUUUGUCUGAGCAGCCACCGGUGACAACCCGGAAAUAUUUUUACAGAG
rnacentral:lncRNA from 1 species